CUGCAGCACAGAAUGCAGUAACUUUGAUUUGAAUAUCAAAUGUACAUUGUCACUCUUGGUUUGUAAUCAGCUUUUGUUUAAUUUUUUAAUUGAUAUUUUUAAAAAAAAAAAUUUUCCAGGAAGUGGGCCGAAUGAAGAUAGAGCUUUUUGCAGACAUUGUUCCGAAGACUGCGGAAAAUUUUCGGCAGUUCUGUACUGGUGAAUUCAAGUAAGUCAGAUUUCAGUGAAUUUAAGGGAUAGUUCACCCAAAAAUGAAUUUGCAGUCAAUUGACGUAGGUGACUUAUUUAUUUAUUUUUUCUCUUCAUUACAACA
rnacentral:lncRNA from 1 species